rfam:Pan troglodytes isolate Yerkes chimp pedigree #C0471 (Clint) chromosome 2A, whole genome shotgun sequence.
UUUUUAGUUUAACUAUGUCCCAUGCAAUAUAUGGGACAUAUUUAUGCUAAAA